rnacentral:rRNA from 1 species
UACGGAGGGUGCAAGCGUUAUCCGGAUUCACUGGGUUUAAAGGGUGCGUAGGCGGUUUUGUAAGUCCGUGGUGAAAUCCCCAAGCUUAACUUGGGAACUGCCGUGGAUACUAUCAAUCUUGAAUAUCGUGGAGGUAAGCGGAAUAUGUCAUGUAGCGGUGAAAUGCUUAGAUAUGACAUAGAACACCAAUUGCGUAGGCAGCUUACUACACGAUCAUUGACGCUGAGGCACGAAAGCGUGGGGAGCAAACAGG